UACAGAGGUGGCAAGCGUUGUUCGGAAUUACUGGGCGUAAAGGGCGCGUAGGCGGUCAGGUCAGUCCCGUGUGAAAUCCCUCGGCUCAACUGAGGAACUGCACGGGAAACUGCCUGGCUUGAGUUCGGGAGAGGGAAGCGGAAUUCCGGGUGUAGCGGUGAAAUGCGUAGAGAUGUGGAGGAACACCAGUGGCGAAGGCGACUCUUUGGUCUGUAACUGACGCUGAGGCGCGAAAGCGUGGGGAGCGAACAGG
rnacentral:rRNA from 1 species